CCCAGGACCCUGGGAUCAUGACCUGAGCUGAAGGCAGAGGCUUUAACCCACUGAGCCACCCAGGUGCCCCGAUUUACAAUAUUAUUGAGGGCAAGAAGAUGACCCUGGCGCUGAGAAGCCUGGAGAAAAGUGAACAAGCCAGAAUUUUUGGCCAAAAAUCCGACAACUAGAAGAUCAAACACAUUAUUUUCUGGAUCGGCCCAAAGAUGAAACAUCCUGGAAAAACACAUCACAUUCAACCUUGGACCCGAGAUGGGAACGCUAAGUGCUUUGAAGCAAGUAGAUUUAAUUUGGAUGCCGGAAGGCCCUGCCGAGCUACGCAUACAUUGGACGAUUCUCAGGGAGCAAACAGUGGUCUCACGUGGAAAAUGAGGUCACUCUUGAAUUGGCACUACCCGCAGAUACUGGAGAGGGACUGUUGCUUAUUAAUAAAACUGACCAAAAUUUUAACCAAAAAAAUCCAAGUUUGGCUAUUCCCCCCCCUUUUUUUUAAUUGGUGAGCCAGUAUUGAUACACCGUUAUGAAUGCCAGUGCAUUUCUUCUGUACAUUUAUCAUGUACAUUUAUCAGGAUCAGCUGGACGUGGCUCUGUACCCAGCUCCACAGGCCUCGGUACCCAUCCCUCCCCCAGUGCCACACGUGCCCCAGGACGACAGGAGCAGGUCUUAGUACCGGGUAGAAGGAGCCUCUCACUUCAUUCUCCUUCUUCAAGAUUGAUUGAUUGUUUAUUUAUUUUUUAGCUAUUCUAGGGCCUAUCCUGUGCAUAUUAGUUUAAGAACAAGUUUAUCUGUGUCUACUAAAAUUCUUUGAGAUUUUGAUGGGAAUUGCAUUAAACUUUUAGAUUAA